CAAUCAGGCAUACUUUAUACAUGUGACUCAGCAUAUAACAAUCAGUAUUAAGUUCGUGAUAUUCAAAGUUAUUAGUUGCUGACGUAAAUCAAUAAUGAGAUCCAGAGAUAACUGCCGAUUCUGGCUGCUCAACAGCAUCAUCUAGCGAGUAUAAAUUUGCGUUUCCAACACUCUAUGUUCAGCAUAUACGAAGAGACAGUAGAUUGACAAUGCGUACCGGCCGAUGUAAUGCAUAAUACAUUGCAUUUUUGAUGUUAUUAAUAUUUGUGCCGAAGCUAUGGCUUGCAAGUUCAGUUGUAGAGACAAGGUACAGUGUUGAGGAGUAUACAAAUUGUUCAAGGCUUGUUAAAAUACUUAUAAAGAACCUAAAACAACAAAAGUCGACUAAUGGAGUUUUUGGAGUCGAGUCGAUCUGCUCGUAAAUACGAACCAUCACGAACAGCAAGGUACAGACGUGCAGAUCCACGAAGAAGCACUUUGGUGCUUGGGUUUGAUAGAAAUCGUUGGGAAACAACUAACGAGAAAAUCCAAAAACAA